rnacentral:rRNA from 1 species
UACGGGGAUCCGAGCGUUAUCCGGAUUUAUUGGGUUUAAAGGGUGCGCAGGCGGAAUAUUAAGUCGGCGGUGAAAGUUUGCAGCUUAACUGUAAAAUUGCCGUUGAUACUGGUAUUCUUGAGUGUAUAUGAAGUAGGCGGAAUUUGUAGUGUAGCGGUGAAAUGCAUAGAUAUUACAAGGAACUCCAAUUGCGAAGGCAGCUUACUAAAUUACAACUGACGCUUAGGCACGAAGGCGUGGGUAUCAAACAGGAUUAGAUACCAUGGUAGUCCCU